GAUGAACGCUGGCGGCGUGCCUAAUACAUGCAGGUCGAGCGAACAGACGAGGAGCUUGCUCCUCUGACGUUAGCGGCGGACGGGUGAGUAACACGUGGAUAACCUACCUAUAAGACUGGGAUAACUUCGGGAAACCGGAGCUAAUACCGGAUAAUAUAUUGAACCGCAUGGUUCAAUAGUGAAAGACGGUUUUGCUGUCACUUGUAGAUGGAUCCGCGCCGCAUUAGCUAGUUGGUAAGGUAACGGCUUACCAAGGCAACGAUGCGUAGCCGACCUGAGAGGGUGAUCGGCCACACUGGAACUGAGACACGGUCCAGACUCCUACGGGAGGCAGCAGUAGGGAAUCUUCCGCAAAGGGCGAAAGCCUGACGGAGCAACGCCGCGUGAGUGAUGAAGGUCUUCGGAUCGUAAAACUCUGUUAUUAGGGAAGAACAAAUGUGUAAGUAACUAUGCACGUCUUGACGGUACCUAAUCAGAAAGCCACGGCUAACUACGUG
rnacentral:rRNA from 1 species